rnacentral:rRNA from 1 species
UACGUAGGGUGCGAGCGUUGUCCGGAAUUAUUGGGCGUAAAGAGCUUGUAGGCGGUCUGUCGCGUCUGCUGUGAAAAUCCGGGGCUCAACCCCGGACUUGCAGUGGGUACGGGCAGACUAGAGUGUGGUAGGGGAGACUGGAAUUCCUGGUGUAGCGGUGAAAUGCGCAGAUAUCAGGAGGAACACCGAUGGCGAAGGCAGGUCUCUGGGCCACUACUGACGCUGAGACGCGAAAGCGUGGGGAGCGAACAGGAUAGAAACCCU